rnacentral:rRNA from 1 species
GACGUACGCUGGCGGCGUGCUUAACACAUGCAAGUCGAACGGAAAGGCCCUGCUUUUGUGGGGUGCUCGAGUGGCGAACGGGUGAGUAACACGUGAGUAACCUGCCCUUGACUUUGGGAUAACUUCAGGAAACUGGGGCUGAUACCGGAUAGGAGCUCCUGCUGCAUGGUGGGGGUUGGAAAGUUUCGGCGGUUGGGGAUGGACUCGCGGCUUAUCAGCUUGUUGGUGGGGUAGUGGCUUACCAAGGCUUUGACGGGUAGCCGGCCUGAGAGGGUGACCGGCCACAUUGGGACUGAGAUACGGCCCAGACUCCUACGGGAGGCAGCAGUGGGGAAUAUUGCACAAUGGGCGGAAGCCUGAUGCAGCAACGCCGCGUGCGGGAUGACGGCCUUCGGGUUGUAAACCGCUUUCGCCUGUGACGAAGCGUGAGUGACGGUAAUGGGUAAAGAAGCACCGGCUAACUACGUG